UACGGGGGGGGCAAGCGUUGUUCGGAAUUACUGGGCGUAAAGGGCCAGUAGGCGGCCAACUAAGUCGGAUGUGAAAUCCCCAGGCUUAACCUGGGAACUGCAUCCGAUACUGGAUGGCUUGAAUUCGGGAGAGGGAUGCAGAAUUCCAGGUGUAGCGGUGAAAUGCGUAGAUAUUGGGAGGAACACCAGUGGCGAAGGCGGCUCACUGGACCGGUUCUGACGCUGAGGCGCGAAAGCGUGGGGAGCAAACGGG
rnacentral:rRNA from 1 species